UAUUGGGGCUGUCAGACAGAGUAGGACUGAGUUGUAGGCUUCAUGGUAGAAUCAGAGAUAUUUUAUCCAACAUGUUGCUUCAAAAUUUGCUGUGGCCAAUUGUGGUCUACAUCUUCUUUGGAACAAGCACAGCUCAGAAGGUCACCCAAGAACCAUCAACAAUGUCUGGACAGGAAGGGAAGAAUGUGACUCUGAAUUGCAAGUAUGAAACCAGUGACCCUAGUUAUUCUUUGUUUUGGUACAAACAGCAUGAUUUUGGGGCAAUGCUGCUUCUUAUUCGACAGGAUUCCUACAGCCAAAAGAACCUGUGGAAGGACCGUUAUUCAGUGAACUUCCAGAAAGCUGAGAAGUUCAUCAAUCUCACCAUCUCAGCUUCUCAGCUAGGGGACUCAGCCACGUAUUUCUGUGCUUUCAUAACACUCACAGUGAUGGAAGUGAUAAGAAGAGCCAAUACAAAAAUACCAAUGCUGUGUAGGUCUUUCCCACCUGCAGCAUAG